rnacentral:misc_RNA from 1 species
AAGCUUUAUGGUAGAUGAAAACCUAUUCCGCAUAGAAAAUCGAAUUCAGUAAACUAAUGAUGAUUAGGAAUGCAAAAAUGAGGUUGCAUUAUCAUGUAACACUAAAGCAAGAGGUGACACCACUAGUGUAGAUGGGGUGAGUUUGGGUUGCUUUAACAUUAUAUUUGAUGCUGGUGUUGCGAAAUCACUGUCCAAACUUUCGCACUGUUACUGCGAAAUCUAAUCUCGUGCAGCAUCAAAAGUUUAUAAACAAGGUAGAUGCAAGAGAAAAUCUAUUCAUCCAAUAAAAGUUGAAAUAGUAAGCAACAUCAAAGGUCAAAACAUUUUAUUAGCUUCAUAGAGAGAGAGAGAGAGAUUACUGAUAGCUUCACAAUGUAGGUAUUGUAAAAGCAAUGUAAAUAACCUCUAAAUAGUGUCCAAUGAAGGAGACAUGUGGACUACCUCAUUUGUUUCUGAGCCAGUU